AUAUCUCUCUGUACGGGAAGGAUGAGAAGCUUCGACUAAGGUUCGAUUCGAGCGCAGCGAGAAAGCGUUGCCGCAGGCAACGACCCGAAGGGUGAGGAGCAAUACGGCGAGUCAUCUUUGCCCCAAUCUCCC
rnacentral:sRNA from 2 species